UACGGAGGGUGCAAGCGUUAUCCGGAAUCACUGGGUUUAAAGGGUGCGUAGGCGGCCUGGUAAGUCAGAGGUGAAAUGCACGAGCUUAACUGGUGAAUUGCCUUUGAAACUAUCAAGCUAGAAUUAUGUUGAGGUCAGCGGAAUGAGUCAUGUAGCGGUGAAAUGCAUAGAUAUGACUUAGAACACCAAUUGCGUAGGCAGCUGGCUGGGCAUACAUUGACGCUGAGGCACGAAAGCGUGGGGAGCGAACAGG
rnacentral:rRNA from 1 species